rnacentral:rRNA from 1 species
GACGAACGCUGGCGGCGUGCCUAAUACAUGCAAGUAGAACGCUGAAGAGAGGAGCUUGCUCUUCUUGGAUGAGUUGCGAACGGGUGAGUAACGCGUAGGUAACCUGCCUUGUAGCGGGGGAUAACUAUUGGAAACGAUAGCUAAUACCGCAUAACAAUGGAUGACACAUGUCAUUUAUUUGAAAGGGGCAAUUGCUCCACUACAAGAUGGACCUGCGUUGUAUUAGCUAGUAGGUGAGGUGAUGGCUCACCUAGGCGACGAUACAUAGCCGACCUGAGAGGGUGGUCGGCCACACUGGGACUGAGACACGGCCCAGACUCCUACGGGAGGCAGCAGUAGGGAAUCGUCGGCAAUGGGGGCAACACUGACCGAGCAACGCCGCGUGAGUGAAGAAGGUUUUCGGGUCGUAAAGCUCUGUUGUAAGUCAAGAACGGGUGUGAGAGUGGAAAGUUCACACUGUGACGGUAGCUUACCAGAAAGGGACGGCUAACUACGUG